AGAGUUUGAUCAUGGCUCAGAAUCAACGCUGGCGGCGUGCCUAACACAUGCAAGUCGAACGAGAAAGUGGAGCAAUCCAUGAGUAAAGUGGCGACCGGGUGAGUAACACGUGACUAACCUACCCUCGAGUGUGGAAUAACAUCGGGAAACCGAUGCUAAUACCGCAUAACAUCGCAAGAUCAAAGGAGCAAUCCGCUUGAGGAGGGGGUCGCGGCUGAUUAGCUAGUUGGCGGGGUAACGGCCCACCAAGGCGAAGAUCGGUAGCCGGCCUGAGAGGGCGCACGGACACACUGGAACUGAAACACGGUCCAGACUCCUACGGGAGGCAGCAGUGGGGAAUUUUGCGCAAUGGGGGAAACCCUGACGCAGCAACGCCGCGUGGAGGAUGAAGUCUCUUGGGACGUAAACUCCUUUCGAUCGGGAAGAUUAUGACGGUACCGAUAGAAGAAGCCCCGGCUAACUUCGUGCCAGCAGCCGCGGUAAUACGAGGGGGGCAAGCGUUGUUCGGAAUUAUUGGGCGUAAAGGGUGUGUAGGCGGUUUGGUAAGUCUUGUGUGAAAUCUUCGGGCUCAACUCGAAGUCUGCACGAGAAACUGCCGGGCUUGAGUGUGGGAGAGGUGAGUGGAAUUUCCGGUGUAGCGGUGAAAUGCGUAGAUAUCGGAAGGAACACCUGUGGCGAAAGCGGCUCACUGGACCACAACUGACGCUGAGACACGAAAGCUAGGGGAGCAAACAGGAUUAGAUACCCUGGUAGUCCUAGCCCUAAACGAUGAUCGCUUGGUGUGACGGGUACCCAAUCCCGCCGUGCCGCAGCUAACGCGUUAAGCGAUCCGCCUGGGGAGUACGGUCGCA
rnacentral:rRNA from 1 species